rnacentral:lncRNA from 1 species
AGGUUUUCUUAGUGUCUUCUCCUCCAUCUAUAGACCAGGCAGCUGCCAGCUGCAGGUGGAAAUGCUUGCUCAGAGCUCCAGGACAAACUAGCUGUGCUUCAAAGUCCUCCAGCAUCCUUCCACACCUACAUUUCCAGUAUCACCUACCAUAGUUCUUCCCAAAUGCUAUGACGAGCCUCAGUAGUGCAGCAUGAACACUACAGGUGAGGCACACCAAGAUAACACACUGCAAUGCUGCUGGGUCACACUUGCAUC